rnacentral:rRNA from 1 species
AUUGAACGCUGGCGGCAGGCCUAACACAUGCAAGUCGAGCGAGCGGCGGACGGGUGAGUAAUGUAUGGGGACUGCCCGAUAGAGGGGGAUAACUACUGGAAAAGGUAGCUAAUACCGCAUACUAUCGGAUAACCCAUAUGGGAUUAGCUAGUAGGUGAGGUAAUGGCUCAACUAGGCACCGAUCCCUAGCUGGUCUGAGAGGCUGAUCAGCCACACUGGGACGGUGAAACGGCCCAGACUCCUACGGAGGCAGCAGUGGGGAAUAAUGCACAAUGGGCGCAAGCUGUAUGCAGCCAUUCCGCGUGUAUGAAGAAGGCCCUAGGGUUGUAAAGUACUUUCAGUCGGGAGGCGUUACCGACAGAAGAAGCACCGGCUAACUCCGUGCCAGCAGCCGCGGUAAUAC